GACGAACGCUGGCGGCGUGCUUAACACAUGCAAGUCGAACGCUGAAGCACCAGCUUGCUGGUGUGGAUGAGUGGCGAACGGGUGAGUAAUACGUGAGUAACCUGCCCUUGACUCUGGGAUAAGCCCGGGAAACUGGGUCUAAUACUGGAUGCUACAUGUCACCGCAUGGUGGUGUGUGGAAAGGGUUUACUGGUCUUGGAUGGGCUCACGGCCUAUCAGCUUGUUGGUGAGGUAAUGGCUCACCAAGGCGACGACGGGUAGCCGGCCUGAGAGGGUGACCGGCCACACUGGGACUGAGACACGGCACAGACUCCUACGGGAGGCAGCAGUGGGGAAUAUUGCACAAUGGGCGAAAGCCUGAUGCAGCGACGCCGCGUGAGGGAUGACGGCCUUCGGGUUGUAAACCUCUUUCAGCAGGGAAGAAGCCACAAGUGACGGUACCUGCAGAAGAAGCGCCGGCUAACUACGUG
rnacentral:rRNA from 1 species